ACCCCACUCGCAGCCACCCAGCAAGAGCAGCAUGUCAGCCUGCAGGAGCUUUGCUGUUGCAAUCUGCAUUUUAGAAAUAAGUGUCCUCACAGCACAAUACACGACCAGUUAUGACCCAGAGCUAACAGAAAGCAGUGGCUCUGCAUCGCACAUAGAUUGCAGAAUGAGCCCCUGGAGUGAAUGGUCACAAUGCGAUCCUUGCCUCAGACAAAUGUUUCGUUCAAGAAGCAUUGAGGUCUUUGGACAAUUCAAUGGAAAAAGUUGCACCGACUCUGUGGGAGACAGACGACAGUGUGUGCCCACAGAGCCCUGUGAGGAUGCUGAGGAGGACUGCAGAAAUGACUUUCAAUGCAGUACAGGCAGAUGCAUAAAGAGGCGACUUCAGUGUAAUGGUGACAAUGACUGCGGAGACUUUUCAGAUGAGGAUGAUUGUGAAAGUGAUCCCCGUCCCCCCUGCAGAGACAGAGUGGUAGAAGAGUCUGAGCUGGCACGAACAGCAGGCUAUGGGUCUGUAUUUUACUUGUAUUUUUUCAGAUGAAAAUGAGUGAAAAUGAUCUCCAUCUCUCUCACUG
rnacentral:sRNA from 1 species